rnacentral:rRNA from 1 species
UACGAAGGGGGCUAGCGUUGCUCGGAAUUACUGGGCGUAAAGCGCACGUAGGCGGCUUUCUAAGUCGGGGGUGAAAUCCUGGAGCUCAACUCCAGAACUGCCUUCGAUACUGGAAAGCUCGAGUCCGGGAGAGGUGAGUGGAACUGCGAGUGUAGAGGUGAAAUUCGUAGAUAUUCGCAGGAACACCAGUGGCGAAGGCGGCUCACUGGACCACAACUGACGCUGAGGUGCGAAAGCGUGGGGAGCAAACAGGG